GCACUCAUUCAGGCAGCACGUUUACUAAAAUUGGAACAAUACAGAGAUUAGCAUGUCCCCUGUGCAAGGAUGACACAGACUUGUGAAGUGUCCCAUAUUUUC
ensembl:snRNA U6 U6 spliceosomal RNA